AGAGUUUGAUCCUGGCUCAGAUUGAACGCUGGCGGCAGGCUUAACACAUGCAAGUCGGGCGGUAACAGGGAGAAGCUUGCUUCUCUGCUGACGAGCGGCGGACGGGUGAGUAAUGUAUGGGGAUCUGCCUGAUGGAGGGGGAUAACUACUGGAAACGGUAGCUAAUACCGCAUAAUGUCCACGGACCAAAGCGGGGGACCUUCGGGCCUCGCACCAUCAGAUGAACCCAUAUGGGAUUAGCUAGUAGGUGGGGUAAUGGCUCACCUAGGCGACGAUCUCUAGCUGGUCUGAGAGGAUGACCAGCCACACUGGAACUGAGACACGGUCCAGACUCCUACGGGAGGCAGCAGUGGGGAAUAUUGCACAAUGGGCGCAAGCCUGAUGCAGCCAUGCCGCGUGUAUGAAGAAGGCCUUCGGGUUGUAAAGCUCUUUCACCGAUGAAGAUAAUGACGGUAGUCGGAGAAGAAGCCCCGGCUAACUUCGUGCCAGCAGCCGCGGUAAUUC
rnacentral:rRNA from 1 species